UACGAACUGUGCAAACGUUAUUCGGAAUCACUGGGCUUAAAGGGUGCGUAGGCGGCUUGUUAAGUAGGGUGUGAAAUCCCAAGGCUCAACCUUGAAAUUGCGCCCUAAACUGGCGAGCUGGAGUGAGAUAGGGGUGUGUGGAACUUCCAGUGGAGCGGUGAAAUGUGUUGAUAUUGGAAGGAACGCCAGUGGCGAAAGCGACACACUGGGUCUCAACUGACGCUGAGGCACGAAAGCCAGGGGAGCAAACGGG
rnacentral:rRNA from 1 species